rnacentral:rRNA from 1 species
GACGAACGCUGGCGGCGUGCUUAACACAUGCAAGUCGAACGGAAAGGCCCUGCUUUUGUUGGGUGCUCGAGUGGCGAACGGGUGAGUAACACGUGAGUAACCUGCCCUUGACUUUGGGAUAACUUCAGGAAACUGGGGCUAAUACCGGAUAUGAGCUCCUGCUGCAUGGUGGGUGUUGGAAAGUUUCGGCGGUUGGGGAUGGACUCGCGGGUUAUCAGCUUGUUGGUGGGGUAGUGGCUUACCAAGGCUUUGACGGGUAGCCGGCCUGAGAAGGUGACCGGAGACAGUGGGACUGAGAUACGGCCCAGACUCCUACGGGAGGCAGCAGUGGGGAAUAUUGCACAAUGGGCGGGAGCCUGAUGCAGAAACGCCGCGUGCGGGAUGACGGCCUUCGGGUUGUAAACCGCUUUCGCCUGUGACGAAGCGUGAGUGACGGUAAUGGGUAAAGAAGCACCGGCUAACUACGUG